GGCCUCUCUGUUUGAACUAGGUUUUUUUAACGCUUGCUCUGUCUGUAACAGAGUAUGUUUCCUUUUGCACGUGUGAUACGCCUCUGAUAAACCCUAUCUGGGUCAAGGCUAGGCCUUAUUUGCUUUGUAUUCUGACCAUAGCCCUUUACACGGAGUAGCUUCUCAUCAUUAUUGUUGAAAUAAAAAAGAGUAUUUUCUAAGAUGCUGCAUUGGGCAGAAUCGAGAAGCCUCGGCCAGCCCUGGUUUCCUCCUGAGGGUGAAGCAAACAAAUCUGUCUUUGUGUACAUGAAAUAUCUCUGGAAGAAACUGUUAACAAUUGCUCUGGGAAGGGAAACUGAGUGACUGCAGGGCAGGGAUGACACAGAAAUUUACUUUCCACAUUCAGUUCUCUCUCUGUAGCCUUUGAUUCUGUCCAGUAUAUCUGCUAUAGAUAAUUCAUAAAUUUAAGUAAUUGAACAUUUUAUUUAAAAUUAAGUCUCUCUUAUGUUUCAGUUCUGGAAAUUCAUUCUACCAUUGAUGGGCUUUUGGAUCGUUCCCAGUUUUUGGCGAUCACGAAUAAAGCUUCUGUGAAUAAUC
rnacentral:lncRNA from 1 species